rnacentral:rRNA from 1 species
UACGUAGGGGGCUAGCGUUGUCCGGAAUCAUUGGGCGUAAAGAGCGCGUAGGCGGCCAGAUAAGUCCGGUGUGAAAGUCACAGGCUCAACCUGUGAAUGCCGCUGGAAACUGUCUGGCUAGAGUCCGGAAGGGGCGAGUGGAAUUCCUGGUGUAGCGGUGAAAUGCGCAGAUAUCAGGAGGAACACCAAUGGCGAAGGCAGCUCGCUGGGACGGUACUGACGCUGAGGCGCGAAAGCUAGGGGAGCGAACGGG